CAUGCCAUUGUCAAUUCUAAUGAUUUCCUCAUCCUCUGUCGACCCUGCGUACUUGUUUCCUUGUGUGUUUUGAAUGAAUUGUCGUUCAGUUCUGCGCGUCAAACUCAUUUCCUCCCUGUACAUUCGAUAUUCUGUGAACAAUUCGAUUUUCUUUUCACUUCCACAUGACAUGUAGAUCGAAGUAGUUAACUCAAAAAGAGAGGGACACUGCAUUCUACCACUCUUUCAUUUCCUCCCUGUACAUUCCAUACUCUGUGAAGAAGACCAAACGUCAGUUUAAGAAAGUUUUCCAUGAAUGAUCACGAACUGUUGAUUAAAACUGACCUCAACAGUUUAGGUUCAUUUAUUUACUAGAUUUUGCACUGAAUAAAUAUUAAUUUCUAUGCCUCUGUUCCUGUACUUCCACGUAUCUUAUCUUUAUUUACUUCUCUUAUUUUGUGAGGCUACUUCCCCCCCCCCACACACACACACAUUUUCUUCUGCAAAAGAGAAUUUUUCGCCUUCUGUUUUUACAUGUUCUUGUACGCGUUUUACUCAUCGCUGAGAUUCCUGUUAUUUAUUCCCAUGUCCGUAUUUUGAUUAAUUAAAGAUUUCAUUUUAUUUUAUUGGGUGUCUAGCCAUUAAUAAGACCUCACAAUUUCUUAAUCCCGUUUCUGUUUCUUUCUUUCUUUAUUAAGAUGUUCUUAAAUAAGCAAUUCAUUUUUUUUUUGUUUAGGUAAUACUGCGGCUACCUGCAUGAGGGACGGACGUCUGUUAUGCAUGUUACAAAUUCAUGAAACCAAUAUUCAGCGAUCCGACCGCUGCGCCGCCAGUUUCCCUGUAAUACUGCGGCUACCUGCAUGAGGGACGGACGUCUGUUAUGCAUGUUACAAAUUCAUGAAACCAAUAUUCAGCGAUCCGACCGCUGCGCCGCCAGUUUCCCUGUAAUACUGCGGCUACCUGCAUGAGGGACGGACGUCUGUUAUGCAUGUUACAAAUUCAUGAAACCAAUAUUCAGCGAUCCGACCGCUGCGCCGCCAGUUUCCCUGUAAUACUGCGGCUACCUGCAUGAGGGACGGACGUCUGUUAUGCAUGUUACAAAUUCAUGAAACCAAUAUUCAGCGAUCCGACCGCUGCGCCGCCAGUUUCCCUGUAAUACUGCGGCUACCUGCAUGAGGGACGGACGUCUGUUAUGCAUGUUACAAAUUCAUGAAACCAAUAUUCAGCGAUCCGACCGCUGCGCCGCCAGUUUCCCUGUAAUACUGCGGCUACCUGCAUGAGGGACGGACGUCUGUUAUGCAUGUUACAAAUUCAUGAAACCAAUAUUCAGCGAUCCGACCGCUGCGCCGCCAGUUUCCCUGUAAGAUUUCUUUUUAUUUAAUUAAAAUUUUCGUAACAUACAUGAAUGAAUUCCAUCGGAUAUUUUUUAGGAUAAUUCAUUUCGGUUCAUAUUUUUUUUUAAUUUAAAUUUUCGUUACAUACCUGAUUAGGUUUCAUCACAGUUUUUUGCUUAUAAUUUUUGUUUAACACCUAACACUUCUUUUGAGUAUCAUUUUCUUUUUCAUAACUAA